AAUUUGUGGCUAAGUUUUUAAUAUUAUGUAAAAUUGAAAAUUAAUAUUUGUUAUGUGCGUUAAAUAAUGCGAAACAAUGGUUAAGACGUGAAAUUAAUAAAUGAGAGAAAAAAUAAUUAAUUAAUGCUAGGAGCAUGAUAGAAUUCAAAUUAAUUCAGGAUCUCCUGCUCUAAUAUAUACCAUUGAAAUAAUGUAGCAUAAUUAUUUUUGCCCAAAAGUUUAAGCUGAUAAAGAAUGAUAUUUUUAAUUUUUAUGUUCAACAAUGUGUAAAUCCAAAGUUUUGAUGAACCACUUAGCUCGAAUUCGUUAGUCAUAUUUUUAAAAAUUUUCUAGCGGUGUGAUAAUAACGUUUAAGUUUGAAUAUGCAGUGAUUCGAUCAUAGGAUAGUUUUUUUUU
rnacentral:lncRNA from 1 species